rnacentral:lncRNA from 1 species
CGUAUUUUAAACUGGCCGUCCUUUCCAUUACCGUGUUAAUUGGAUUAUUGCAUGGUCCUGUCCUAGUUAGCUGUCAGUUUCCAGCACCACCAAAAUAAGGACCUCCCACUUUCGUUCCUCAAGGUGGCAGGCUCAAUAUAUUGCCUGUACCUGUACCUAGACCGGUUCCUGUUGAGGGUAGACGUUUUGAUGAAAGACGAACAUUUGUACUGCUCGAAGAUGAUGGAUUACAGGACGGUGGAUUUGACGGUGGAUUUGGCGGUGGAUUUG